rnacentral:rRNA from 1 species
UACGUAGGGUGCGAGCGUUAAUCGGAAUUACUGGGCGUAAAGCGUGCGCAGGCGGUUUUGUAAGCCAGAUGUGAAAGCCCCGGGCUCAACCUGGGAAUGGCAUUUGAGACUGCAUAGCUAGGAUGCGGAAGAGGGAAGUGGAAUUUCCGGUGUAGCGGUGAAAUGCGUAGAUAUCGGAAGGAACAUCAGUGGCGAAAGCGACUUCCUGGUCCAGCAUCGACGUUCAGGCACGAAAGCGUGGGGAGCAAACAGG